UCCAGUUUGCCUUCAGAGAGUGGAUAGCCCAUCAUCUUUGGAAUGAUCCAGCCAAACUCCUGCUUGUUGAUGCCCACCAUGUAGGGCACAGUGUUGAAAUUC